ACGAACGCUGGCGGCAUGCCUAACACAUGCAAGUCGAACGAGACCUUCGGGUCUAGUGGCGCACGGGUGCGUAACGCGUGGGAAUCUGCCCUUGGGUUCGGAAUAACUUCGGGAAACUGAAGCUAAUACCGGAUGAUGACGUAAGUCCAAAGAUUUAUCGCCCAAGGAUGAGCCCGCGUAGGAUUAGCUAGUUGGUGAGGUAAAGGCUCACCAAGGCGACGAUCCUUAGCUGGUCUGAGAGGAUGAUCAGCCACACUGGGACUGAGACACGGCCCAGACUCCUACGGGAGGCAGCAGUGGGGAAUAUUGGACAAUGGGCGAAAGCCUGAUCCAGCAAUGCCGCGUGAGUGAUGAAGGCCUUAGGGUUGUAAAGCUCUUUUACCCGGGAUGAUAAUGACAGUACCGGGAGAAUAAGCUCCGGCUAACUCCGUG
rnacentral:rRNA from 1 species